rnacentral:rRNA from 1 species
UACGUAGGGUGCAAGCGUUGUCCGGAAUUAUUGGGCGUAAAGAGCUCGUAGGCGGUUUGUCGCGUCUGCUGUGAAAACCCGAGGCUCAACCUCGGGCCUGCAGUGGGUACGGGCAGACUAGAGUGCGGUAGGGGAGAUUGGAAUUCCUGGUGUAGCGGUGGAAUGCGCAGAUAUCAGGAGGAACACCAAUGGCGAAGGCAGCGCCCUGGCCGCCAUCUGACGCUCAGGCACGAAAGCUGGGGGAGCGAACAGG